GGAAGCAGUGAUGAUUCAAUAUAUGUUUAUGACUUGGACGCUGAUAAACUUGCAUCACGUUUCGAAGCUCACGCUUCCGAUGUGAACACAGUUACUUUUGCUGAUGAAAGUGGCAACCUCAUAUAUUCAGGCAGUGAUGAUUACCUCUGUAAGGUCUGGGACAGGCGCUGCUUUAACAGUAAUGGACAACCAGCAGGAACUUUGACCGGACAUUUAGAAGGUAUCACAUUUAUUGAUAGCCGUGGAGAUGGCCGUUAUUUCAUUUCAAAUGGUAAAGAUCAGACUACCAAACUUUGGGACAUUCGCAAAAUAUCUUCUGAUGUUAACAGUUC
rnacentral:misc_RNA from 1 species